rnacentral:lncRNA from 1 species
UGCCUCCCAAGUCAGCAAAACUAAGCAGCCUCUUACUAUUUCCUGAUUCAAAGUGCUCCUUUCCUUCUCUACUUUUGAACGGAGCCAAGUUAUUCACUAGCAAAGAGAAAUAAAAAGGGAAAGAGUAGCCCAGACUGAGCAUAUGCCGUGUUUCAACAGGAACCCCCCAAACGUCAUCUCUCUGAAGAAAAGUGUUGCAAGUGAGGGAUUUUCGAGUGUUGUGCAAAUUCCAGGAAUCUUAGGCAAGCUGUGCAGUUUCGAUUCUAGGGUGUGUUAACUCAUACCGGAAAUACACAGGCAGUGACCUACUUCUUUUCCAAUGGAUUUGUUUCUGGUUCAAGCUGUGCUCUGUAAAAUGGUUCGUUUUCAGAAAAGACGCCAAGUCCUCUUUUGGAGGAUGACAAAGGCUUUAAAAUUUCAACCCAAAUCAUCAUCAUGGGAAAAUCGUGUUUCAAAUCAAGGACUUUGUUAUUGAACAUAGUCCGCUCUUAAAAUGUUUAAUCAAUCACUACCUUUCUUUUAAAAAUGAUUCUCGAAAGGAAAUGUUGUCAAGUGGAGGGUAUGUUAAGCGUCUUUAAUAAGUGGCAUCUAAAGGCAACUCCAAGAGUUGAUUUAAACAGUCAUUACUCAAAGCUGCUAAAUGUCAGAAUUCUAUAUAGGAGUCUUUUGUAGCACAUUGACAUCAAGUAUAAUUAAUAUUUGUGCUUUUUAUUAGAAAUAAGGGAUAAGGGCUUACUUGGAUCUGUGAUUCAUUAGUACAGGGAAUGCCUGGAUGAGAAAACGCUCUCUAAAUUAAUGCAAAAACAAACAAAACCAGAAACAAUUAGAGAGAAUAAGAAAAGAAGACCCAGAAAGGAGGAAGUAGGAAAGCAUGGAGAUGCUAGGAAUAAGGUUGUUCAAAAAGGAAAAAGAGAAAAACAGGUAAGAGGGAUCUUUUUCUUUUUAGUGAUUGGAAGAGUAAUGAAGAAAAACCAAAAAGAAUCACAAUCAAGCAAUUUGCCACAGUUCAUGAGACAUUUAGAAAGCACCAAUGAGGUAAGCUAAACACUAGGAUACAAAUAAGAAAAAGACAGUCCUUGCUCUCAGGAAAGCAAUACACAAAAGGAAGCUGAAAGUAAGGGAAGAAGGAGACCACCGAGGGGUACACCCUGCCUGGGUCAUGAUGUUACUGCUUGAGGCUCCCCGAACCCACUAGAAGCCUCAAGGUAGGAAGAUAGAAAAAGGAUAGAAGUUUUGGAUACCCCGAGGGGCAUGGUGGAGUCAAGUUAUAGAUAUGAGGUGGCAGAAAUGAGACAGAAACCAGGCCUUAUUGAUUAUAAUAGGGCCACAGCAUAACCCCGAUAUUUAGGAUGUCGCAGAGGCAUGAUCCAUCCUGAGAUCCACAAUUAAUACCACACAGAUUGGAGAAAUGAUAGAGAAAAGAGAGUGCCUGGCCAAAAGCCAGGACCCAGGUGAGAGAGAUAGAGGAGGAAAGGAAUUAAAGAUGGAGCUUGGCCAGAGGCCAAGCUCCAGCAAGGACAGACAUCAGUGAGAGCUAAGAUCCAAGAGAGGAAGAGAGGGCAGAGCUUGCUGUGGCCCUGUAUUUAAUUUCUUUGAUAUGCAAAUAUACACAAUACAUAGGGAUGAUUAUCAUUGGUUAAUGACAAGGUAUAGGUAUGGUUUCUCUUUAGCCAGGUGAACACAAAGAAACCUGUUUUCCCACCUAACCUGGGGGAAGCUGGGAUCAAGGGUCAGAGGCUUUCCCAGCUAUGCACAAGACUGAGCAUGCUCUCUUCUAAGACAAUCUUUACAUUCUGUUUCCCUUGUCCCUAGAUAGGUGUGGACUGCUACACUGCUCAAAACAAAGUAGAUACACUGAUGGAAAAUUGAAUUGUCUGGAAAAUUCAGAGCCCUUUAUAAAGGAAAGCUUCAUAAAGAAUGAUGAAUAGGAUGACUUCAAAAAGAACUGGAAAGACCUACAUGAAGUGACCGAGAGUGAAAUAAGCAGAACCAAAAGAGCAUUAUACACAGAAACUGAAAUAUUAUGGAAUGAUCAAAUGUCAAAGACUUUGCUACUAGCAGGAAUACAAUGACCUGGGACAAUUCUGAGGGACUUAGGAAAAAGAAUGUUAUCCACCUCCAGAGAAAGAAUUGCUGGAGUAGAAAUGUAGAUGAAAACAUAUGAUUUAUCACUUGUUUAUUUGGAGUUUUGUUUUUAUAAAAUCAUUCACUAACAAAAAUGAAUAAUAUGGAAAUAAGUUUUGCAUAAUAAUACAUGUAUAACCCAGACUGAAUUGCUUGUUAGUUCCAGGAGGGGGGGAGGAAGAUAAAAUGAAUCAUAUAACCUUGGGAAACUUACAUAGAACUUUGUUAUUAAAAUAAAAUAUAUAAAGAAAAGCUUCUGGAAAAGUUU